UUUCAAGUGUUUGGCAGACGGAUUAUGGUUAAUUGACUGCGAUUCACGCGUCACUCACAAGAAGGGAAGAGUUAUCGAUUUAUCGUCAAUAUGUGUAUUGCAAUUUUUAGGGAAAUAUUUUUGGUUCGACUGAUCAUCUGAGUUUAAAAACGAGGAAGGAGCCUAUUUGAAGAAGUGUGCAGGUACUCAUUUAUACCAUGAAU